rnacentral:rRNA from 1 species
CAGUAGGCGGCCAACUAAGUCGGAUGUGAAAUCCCCAGGCUUAACCUGGGAACUGCAUCCGAUACUGGAUGGCUUGAAUUCGGGAGAGGGAUGCAGAAUUCCAGGUGUAGCGGUGAAAUGCGUAGAUAUCUGGAGGAAUACCGGUGGCGAAGGCGGCAUCCUGGACCGACAUUGACGCUGAACGGCGAAAGCUAGGGGAGCAAACG